GACGAACGCUGGCGGCGUGCUUAACACAUGCAAGUCGAACGGAAAGGCCCUGCUUUUGUGGGGUGCUCGAGUGGCGAACGGGUGAGUAACACGUGAGUAACCUGCCCUUGACUUUGGGAUAACUUCAGGAAACUGGGGCUAAUACCGGAUAGGAGCUCCUGCUGCAUGGUGGGGGUUGGAAAGUUUCGGCGGUUGGGGAUGGACUCGCGGCUUAUCAGCUUGUUGGUGGGGUAGUGGCUUACCAAGGCUUUGAGGGGUAGCCGGCCUGAGAGGGUGACCGGCCAAAUUGGGACGGGGAAACGGCCCAAGCUCCUACGGGGGGCAGCGGUGGGGAAUUUUGCACAAGGGGCGGAGGCCUGAUGGAGAACCGCCGGGGGGGGGAGGCCGGCCUUCGGGUUGGAAACCGCUUUCGCCUGUACCGAAGCGGGGGGGACGGUAAUGGGGAAAAAAGCCCCGGCAAACUAGGG
rnacentral:rRNA from 1 species